AUAGAGACCAACGAGUAAAUCUAUAUUCCAAUGAGGCUACCCCUGGAGUUGAGGUUCAUGACUAUGAGAAGGAAAGAUGGAUAUCUGGACAAAAUUAGGUUCUAUUAAAAAAAGAAAGAAGAGGCAAUGAACUUCAGGAAUGCAAACUUGACCUCGACUUUAAGGUCAAAGAAUUUUCAGACUGUGCAGUCAGCAGCGAAUUGAAAAAAAAAGUCAAUGUGAAACAUUAUAGAGAAGAAUAAGGGGAAGAGUGAUGCAGAAGUGCUGGGAAGUCAUGUAGGAAUUGGAAACAGCCAAGAUUCUACGGAAAGGUCUAUCACCCUGGUUGGAGUGCAGCAGUGUAAUUAUAGCUUACUGCUGCCAUGAACUUCUGGGCUCAAACGAUCCUCCCACCUCAGCCUCCCUAUGUGCUGGGAUUAAAAGUGUGAUCCACCACGCCUCAUCACAAUGGUCUUAAAAGACACCCUAUUUCAUGUAAGUGCUCAAUAAACUGUUACUUACUGUGACAAGAUACAA
rnacentral:lncRNA from 1 species